GACGAACGCUGGCGGCGUGCCUAAUACAUGCAAGUUGAGCGCUGAAGGUGGGUACUUGUACCGACUGGAUGAGCAGCGAACGGGUGAGUAACGCGUGGGGAAUCUGCCUUUGAGCGGGGGACAACAUUUGGAAACGAAUGCUAAUACCGCAUAAAAACUUUAAACACAAGUUUUAAGUUUGAAAGAUGCAAUUGCAUCACUCAAAGAUGAUCCCGCGUUGUAUUAGCUAGUUGGUGAGGUAAAGGCUCACCAAGGCGAUGAUACAUAGCCGACCUGAGAGGGUGAUCGGCCACAUUGGGACUGAGACACGGCCCAAACUCCUACGGGAGGCAGCAGUAGGGAAUCUUCGGCAAUGGACGAAAGUCUGACCGAGCAACGCCGCGUGAGUGAAGAAGGUUGUCGGAUCGUAAAACUCUGUUGGUAGAGAAGAACGUUGGUGAGAGUGGAAAGCUCAUCAAGUGACGGUAACUACCCAGAAAGGGACGGCUAACUACGUG
rnacentral:rRNA from 1 species